GCCCGCUUGGCUCAGUGGUAGAGGUCAGUUCAGCUCCCAUACAAAAUAUUCCACACUCACUAACCUCGUAACAGCGUAUCACUAGUAAUGAUAAGGUCAUCAGUUCGAUUCUGAUAGCGGGCA